rnacentral:misc_RNA from 1 species
GUAGGUGAACCUGCGGAAGGAUCAUUAAACGUAUCCACGUAUAACCCAACGCGAACUCGUUUUCACAACAAACAUGUGAGUGGUGACGUUUGAGAUAGCGUGAGUGCACAGGUGAGCUGUUUCUUUCGGGAGACUGCUCAGAGCUCUGCUUAUCGAGUCACGUGUCACACUGUUUCACUAUCCUGUGAUGUUAUUACAUUUAAACUCUUGUAUUUUCUCGAUGAACUCUGCGUCAGCUUAACGGUUGACG